rnacentral:rRNA from 1 species
AGGUCAUCGUUAUCUGAAUACAUAGGGUAACGAAGCGAACGUGGCGAACUGAAACAUCUAAGUAGCUACAGGAAAAGAAAUCAACCGAGAUUCCCAAAGUAGUGGCGAGCGAAAUGGGAUCAGCCUGCAAGAUUUAGCAUCAACGAUAGCAAAACGGAAUGGAAAGUCCGGCCAUAGUGGGUGAUAGCCCCGUAUGCGAAAUCGAUGGUGUGGAACUAGGCUUGCGACAAGUAGGGCGGGACACGUGAAAUCCUGUCUGAACAUGGGGGGACCAUCCUCCAAGGCUAAAUACUCGUAAUCGACCGAUAGUGAACCAGUACCGUGAGGGAAAGGCGAAAAGAACCCCGGAAGGGGAGUGAAAUAGAUCCUGAAACCGUGUGCAUACAAACAGUAGGAGCCUCGAAAGGGGUGACUGCGUACCUUUUGUAUAAUGGGUCAGCGACUUACAUUCAGUGGCAAGCUUAACCGAAUAGGGAAGGCGCAGAGAAAUCGAGUCCGAAUAGGGCGUUCAGUCGCUGGGUGUAGACCCGAAACCAGAUGAUCUAUCCAUGGCCAGGUUGAAGGUGCGGUAACACGCACUGGAGGACCGAACCCACUAAUGUUGAAAAAUUAGGGGAUGAGCUGUGGAUAGGGGUGAAAGGCUAAACAAAUCUGGAAAUAGCUGGUUCUCUCCGAAAACUAUUUAGGUAGUGCCUCAAGUAUCACCAUCGGGGGUAGAGCACUGUUAUGGCUAGGGGGUCAUCGCGACUUACCAAACCAUUGCAAACUCCGAAUACCGAUGAGUGCGAGCUUGGGAGACAGACGCCGGGUGCUAACGUCCGACGUCAAGAGGGAAACAACCCAGACCGCCAGCUAAGGUCCCAAAGAUUGGCUAAGUGGAAAACGAAGUGGGAAGGCUAAAACAGUCAGGAGGUUGGCUUAGAAGCAGCCAUCCUUUAAAGAAAGCGUAAUAGCUCACUGAUCGAGUCGUCCUGCGCGGAAGAUGUAACGGGGCUAAGCCAGUCACCGAAGCUGCGGAUAUCCGUAAGGAUAUGGUAGGAGAGCGUUCUGUAAGCCUGUGAAGGUGUCUUGUAAAGGAUGCUGGAGGUAUCAGAAGUGCGAAUGCUGACAUGAGUAGCGAUAAUGCGGGUGAAAAGCCCGCACGCCGUAAGCCCAAGGUUUCCUGUUCAACGUUCAUCGGAGCAGGGUGAGUCGGCCCCUAAGGCGAGGCAGAGAUGCGUAGCUGAUGGGAAGCAGGUUAAUAUUCCUGCACCGUCGUUAGAUGCGAUGGGGGGACGGAUCGCGGAAGGUUGUCCGGGUGUUGGAAGUCCCGGUUUUUGCAUCGAAGAAGGCUGUUAGGCAAAUCCGGCAGCGUAAUUCAAGGGUGUGAGACGAGCGAACUUGUUCGCGAAGCAAUCGGAAGUGGUUCCAAGAAAAGCCUCUAAGCUUCAGUCUAACGAGACCGUACCGCAAACCGACACAGGUGGGCGAGAUGAGUAUUCUAAGGCGCUUGAGAGAACUCGGGAGAAGGAACUCGGCAAAUUGGUACCGUAACUUCGGGAUAAGGUACGCCCAAGUAGUUUGACUGGCCUGCGCCAGAAGGACAAAAGGGUUGCAAUAAAAUGGUGGCUGCGACUGUUUAAUAAAAACACAGCACUCUGCAAACACGAAAGUGGACGUAUAGGGUGUGACGCCUGCCCGGUGCUGGAAGAUUAAAUGAUGGGGUGCAAGCUCUUGAUUGAAGUCCCAGUAAACGGCGGCCGUAACUAUAACGGUCCUAAGGUAGCGAAAUUCCUUGUCGGGUAAGUUCCGACCUGCACGAAUGGCGUAACGAUGGCCACACUGUCUCCUCCCGAGACUCAGCGAAGUUGAAAUGUUUGUGAUGAUGAUGCAAUCUACCCGCGGCUAGACGGAAAGACCCCAUGAACCUUUACUGUAGCUUUGCAUUGGACUUUGAACCAAUCUGUGUAGGAUAGGUGGGAGGCUUUGAAGCAGGAACGCUAGUUUCUGUGGAGCCGACCUUGAAAUACCACCCUGGUUUGUUUGAGGUUCUAACCUUGGUCCGUUAUCCGGAUCGGGGACAGUGCAUGGUAGGCAGUUUGACUGGGGCGGUCUCCUCCCAAAGUGUAACGGAGGAGUUCGAAGGUACGCUAGGUACGGUCGGACAUCGUGCUAAUAGUGCAAUGGCAUAAGCGUGCUUAACUGCGAGACUGACAAGUCGAGCAGGUACGAAAGUAGGACAUAGUGAUCCGGUGGUUCUGUAUGGAAGGGCCAUCGCUCAACGGAUAAAAGGUACUCUGGGGAUAACAGGCUGAUUCCUCCCAAGAGUUCAUAUCGACGGGGGAGUUUGGCACCUCGAUGUCGGCUCAUCACAUCCUGGGGCUGUAGCCGGUCCCAAGGGUAUGGCUGUUCGCCAUUUAAAGUGGUACGUGAGCUGGGUUUAAAACGUCGUGAGACAGUUUGGUCCCUAUCUGCCGUGGGCGUUGGAAGUUUGAAGGGGGCUG